UGCCCGAAUCCUGACACAGGGAGGUAGUGACAAGAAAUAACAAUACAGGGCUACUUCUAGUCUUGUAAUUGGAAUGAGUACAACUUACAUCUCUUCACGAGGAUCAACUGGAGGGCAAGUCUGGUGCCAGCAGCCGCGGUAAUUCCAGCUCCAGAAGCGUAUAUUAAAGUUGUUGCAGUUAAAACGCUCGUAGUCGGGUUUCGGGUCGGGCCGAGCGGUCUGCCGAUGGGUAUGCACUGUUUGGCGCGGCCUUCUUUCCGGAGACCGCGGCUACUCUUAACUGAGCGGGCGUGGGAGACGGAUCGUUUACUUUGAAAAAAUCAGAGUGUUUCAAGCAGGCAGCUCGCUCUUGCAUGGUACAGCAUGGGAUGAUUGAAUAGGACUCCGGUGCUAUUUUGUUGGUUUCGAACACCAGGAGUAAUGAUUAACAGGGACAGUCAGGGGCACUCGUAUUCCGUCGAGAGAGGUGAAAUUCUCAGACCAAUGGAAGACGAACCACUGCGAAAGCAUUUGCCAGGGAUGUUUUCACUGAUCAAGAACGAAAGUUAGGGGAUCGAAGA
rnacentral:rRNA from 1 species